rnacentral:lncRNA from 1 species
UAUUGGGGCUUCUUACUCUCCUUGUAUUUUGGUAUUGGCCCCAUGUAGGAAACGGCGGGAGAAAUGCGACGACCAUAGUAGAUGAUCAGCAAAUCUCGUUUAUUGUUUCAGCUGCGUGUACAUUUAUAGCGCAAAUAAUAGGCUCAUACAUAUUGCUGAAGUGGAGCUUGGGAUUGGCUCGCUAUUCAGGGUCAACUACGCCUAUCUUUGUGCUCUGUGGUUAUCUCUCAGCAAACAUUCUCUUGCUGACUUCUCCAAACAGUGUUGCCAACCUCCUCAAUCUACAUCCUGUUUUGUUCCUUGUCCUUGUGCACGACCAGCUGCACAGUGUCUACGUGGCCUUUCUCAGUCAGCCAGUCAUCAAUAAAACUCUCCACAGCCCCACACAGUUCUAACUAUACCUGAUGGGAGUUCUUUCAGAUGGAUGCUUGUAGGAGGUGAUAAAAAUUCUACUAUACAAUGUCCUUUCCAAUUUAUUGGUACCUCUCGAGCUAUCUCUCGUCCCCACACAGCCACCAGAAGCCCUUCCUUAAUGGUGGCCACUAUUAAAUUUGUAAAUGUAAGAUUGAUCCAAGGUACUUUGGAGGAUAA